rnacentral:lncRNA from 1 species
CUACCUUGCAGGAAAAAUGCAGGUUGUUGUGGAGUUGGUAACUCAAUUGAAUGACUGCUAAGAUAAGAAGCAAUUGUCAAGAUUGAAGGUCUAGCCUCUGGAUCAUUUUGAACACAUAAUAGACCAAUCUGAAUGCACUUAAUGACUUCAGUUUUAGAAAAAUCUCCUUUAAUAUUUGGGUCCAAUAUAUUUAAAGGUGUUUUAUCCAUCCACUGUCUCCACACCUGAAAAUAUAUAACAUUUGGUCUAAGCUAUGAGAUUAUUAGGCAAAACCAGCUUUAAAUCUAAAAUUGGAUCGAAAAGUAUGUAAAGUUUGAUCAAAAAUUAUUUCAACUAAGAAGUAAUGAAAAGAUACUAUUGCUAUAUAAUUACACUCACAGAAUUCAAGAGGCUAUUAGCAACAUGUUGUGGUUCAUAUGAACUUAUAUUCUUCUUUCCAGCUACAAUCUCUAGGAUCAUGACUCCAAAACUAUAAACAUCUGAUUUUUCAGAAAAUUGUCAAAACAUUGCAUAUUCUGGAGACAUAUAACCACUGUACAAAAAAAUGAAAUUUGACGUUAAUUUAACUUGAAUUUACCGUAAUCAAUAAGAACCUGAAAAAGAUAAUAGAGUAGUGAACAUUUGAAACUUACUAUGUUCCAACAAUUCUAUUUGUACUUCCUUCCUCUUGACUUAUUUCGACCAUCCGUGCCAAACCAAAAUCUGAAAUUUUAGGAAUCAUAUUUUCAUCUAAUAGAAUAUUACUAGGUUUGAGAUCGCGAUGUAUAACUUUGAGUCGAGAAUGCUCAUGCAAAUAAAGAAUUCCUCGAGCAAUUCCUCCAAUGAUGUUAAAGCGUUCAACCCAAGUUAACAACUUUUGCUGAUGAGAAUCUACAAAAUUGUUCAUAAAAUAAAAUCAAGUCCAUAUAUAGAAAAACUAUAUAUGUAAUGUAUGAAUCUUAAUAUUGACAAAUGAAAGAGUUUUAGGUGAAAAGUGUCAUACCAAAUAAAAAGUAAUCAAGACUCUUGUUGGAAACAUAUUCAUAAAUAAGUAUCUUCUCAUGUCCUUCAAGACAAAAGCCAAUAAAAGUCACUAGAUUUCUAUGUUGAAGCUUGGCUAUCAAUAAAAUUUCAUUCUUGAACUCCUCUACACCUUGCUUAGAACUUCUUGAAAGCCUCUUUAUAGCUACUUCUCGUCCAUCAGAAAGGAUAGCCUAAUUAUAUGUUAAAAAAGAGUUGUGUUAUUUGAAGAUCCAUUUAUUUGAUAAUUUGAGACAACAAAAAAUUUACGAAUAAAAUGAGGUAUUGGCACAAAAACUAAAACAAUAGUGAGAAAAGGUAAAACAUAAUGUGAGUAUAAAAGAGAAAGUUAUCAUAAAAAUUAUUAAAAAAUGGUUUUGUCCAAAUAUCAUUUCUCAUUAAAAGAAAUAAGAAUUCCUUUACUUUUGAACAAAAUUUUCAAUUACCAUAGAGUAAAGAUAAGAGUAAUUUACUAGAAAAAUGCAUGAACAAUACUAAAAACAAUUUUGGACUUUCUAAAAAAAUGUUUAAUCUACUUUUAAUAUUUAUUUGAGUGAAACAUUAAUUUAGUCACUGUCUUUAUAAGUGAUUUUCAAAAUAGUCACUGACUCUAUUAAUAUUUUAAAAUAAACUCUGUCUUUAUCAAAAGUUUCUCAAUUAAGUCCAUGUUGCUAAGUUUUAUUCACAUGACAAGAAACUUAAUUGAGAGACUUUUGACAAAAAUAAAAGCUAUUUUAAAAUAUUAAUUGAGUCAGAGACUAAUUUGAGAUUCACUUACAAAGAUAAUGACCAAUUUUAUAGUUUACUCCUUUAUUUUUUUAAAACUUUCUUAAUGUCUUGCUUAUCUUAUUGGUGUGGAAAUAUAAAAACAAGAAAUAUCAUAUAAGUAAACAGACACUAAGCCUUCUCUUAUGUUCUCACCUUGAAAACCUCUCCAAACCCUCCUUUGCCAAUGUAAUUGUCCUUAGAAAAGUUGUUUGUUGCUGCUUCAAUUACCAUCCAAUCGAAUUGCAGUGGCUCUAAAGUGGCACUUUCUUCACCAACUAGAUAAAAUUUAUUUGAUGUUGGUAUUAAACUUGUUAAAGUUUAUAAGAAAUUGCUUUUUUAUUCUUCCAUAAAUAAUACUUACAAUUUUCUCGAAGAAUGGUCCUACGACUCUUUCUUCUCCUUCUCUUUAUCAAAUAGUAGCCAAUAGUGAAGAGCAUCACCAAAAUAAUAGUAGGGACAACAAUGGAUAUAAUUGUCCUUUUCUCUGCACAAAAGCAUAAAUAUUUAUAGGGAUUUGUAGCACCAACUCGUUUUUAUUAAGGUGUGUUUUAGCAAAGAUAUAACUAAAAUGUUGUUAAAUACACCUUAAGAUGAAUGUUGUUAAAAUAUAAUUUCUAAAAAAUAAGUGGGUGUAUGUUACCAACUCUUAUAAACAUUUGCUAGAAUACAUCUACUUAUUUUUUAUAAGGUGUAUUUUAACAAGUUAUAACUAAAAAGUAGUUAAAUACACCUUAAGAUGUAGCUUGCUAAAACACUUCCACAUAUAACUUUAAUAAAUGCGUUCCAGCAAAUCUCAUAUUUAUAAAUGUCAUAGUUUACAUGUAGAACUAAGCAAUAAGUUUCUUAUAAUAAAAAAUCAGUAUAUUGUACCCCAUCCAUUUAUAGAAUUGUUUACCCUUUAAAAAGAAAGUCAAGACAACAUUCAAUUUAUGUACUUGUAUGCAGUUGCUUUCAAAGAAAAAGAAUAUACUUUCAUAACAAGGAAAAUUUUAUCGUACAUCUAAUAUAUUUGAGUGUAUCGAUACAUCAAACUUAAAAAUUUAUAGUUAAAUAAGUUGUGUUUUGAAGAAAACUAUUAUUUUUUAUCAUUUAUAAUUAUAAUGAUUAAAUUUUAUUCACAAAAAACAUUAACGAAAUAAAAUUGAAUUUUCAUCGCUCAUAAUAGAGAACUUUGAUUAUUUUAUAUGAUAAUAUGUUAAAAAUUUACUAUGAUUUUUAUAAACAAUGAAUGAUAUAUUUUUCUUAUGAAAUGAUAUUUUGUAAAAUAUAAAUGCCGACAAAUAACUAUUUAUUUCAUAAAAUUGAUCGUUAAUUUAUAGAUUUAGGAAGUAAGAGUACCGGUACACCAGAAUUUAUGAGUGUACCGUAGAAGUUCCCUUAAAACAAUUGGUCAAGCUUCAUUAUUUUUUUCCAUUUACAAGUAAAGCUUCGUAUCCAAAGGGAAAUGCUAACUUGUAUCUUUAAGAUACAAGUUACCAUUUUUAGAAACUUUUAUUUAUUGGAAUUCAUGCAUUAAACUUAAUUUUUUAACUUUUAAUUAAUUGAAUGCACAAAUCUUAAAGAAAUAUUUUUAUUUUUUGAUUGCUUAAUAUGUGCCUUUAGGGCACAAGUUAGCAUGACCGACCAAUAUAAACCGAGUUGGCUUGACCCUUGACCUUUGAGUUUGCUCUCAAAUUAGAUUCUCUGGGGCCAAUUUCAUUAUUUCUUCUUCAAAAAAGAUUGAGCUGAUUUAUGAACUUACAACUGUAAAGUGGAUAACUCACUUUAGUUAAAGCAUAAAGUAAGAAAUAGCAAGUUCAAAGAAAAAUAAUGAUCUGUAUUUUAGCACGUUCAUAUUCAGGAUUGAAAUAUCAAUAUAUGAUUUUCUCACUUUAGAUGAAUCUAAUCAUACUUGAAUAAAGAGUUCACCUGUAUGUCUUGCAAAUGUUGUAGGACUUCCAGGCGGUAGAGCUUCGUCGCCGUCCAUAUAAAAUUUGAACAAUUCAAACCUCAGAUUGCAGCUAGGAUAUAUGAUUCUUCCUCCAACACUUCCCAAAAAUGACCAUGGAAUUUCUCUACUGAUCAUAUCAUUUAGACAUGAAUUGCAAUCCUGACUAGACAAAUCUUUUGUACAUUGUUCAAGAGUAUACAAAGUUUGUUUAUCAUUCAAAAUUAAUGAAUUUUUCGCAUAUUUUUCCUCGUUGUUCCCCGUAACAUUGACAAGUUCAGAUAAUUGAUUUGAUAAUGCAUUUGUGAACAAGUUUUGGUCCGGGAUGGAACCAUUUGUAAUAUUUAUAUCGCGGAACAUAGGCCCUGUUUCAAUGCUGUGAAUGAAAUACCUAUUCGAAUAGCGAAGCAGGCAAUGGCUGUACCAAAUUAUACCCUCUGGGAAGGAAUGACACUUUGAGUAUAGUUGUUCCGUUGCAUUUUUGACGCAUUGAACACAAAGGCGAGGCGGAAGAUCACCUCGACACAUGAAGAGACCAUACGCAAUUUCUUCCACUUUAAGCCAAUAAAAUUUUUUGCCGAUGGUGGCGUUCGACAACAAAUAAGACAGAAGUAGUUUGAUGUUUUUGUCAGUGAUUGUAUUGUAAUUUCUUGAGCAAUUAUAGGAAAGAUAAAAUGGAUCUUCUGAAAGUAUUUUAGAAUCUUGUAUGGAAUCAUUUGUUUGAGGAGCAAGCUCAUUUGGGGAAAGAACAUAAGUAGACCUAUAAAAUGGAUAUAAUUCAUACCUAACAUUACAGCUAGGAUAAAGAAAUCUCCCACCAACCUUUCCAACACAGCUUUGUGAAAGUGUCUCAAUAGCACUAGUGAGACAGGUUCUGCAAUCAUUAGGCGACAAAUCCAGCGUGCACUGAGCUAGACUGUAAAGGGUCUGAUUUUCCGAAACUCGUGCUUCUUUUGUUGCAAACUUGUUCUUGUCACCACUAAGCGGACUUGCUGCUUCGUCUGCAGUUCGAUUCAUGGUUGAAAACAAUAAAGACACGAAGCUUUUCGUGUUUAAGAUUUCAGCGGUAUUGCACCAGUGAAAACCUGGCAUCAUAUCGAUCGUGGAAAAGAAAGAGUUGUCAGAGAAUCGAACCAUGCACUCGCCGUACCAAAUCACAGCUUGUUUGGACAAAGAGCACUCUGAGGAUAGCUGAUUGGUUGCCUUAACUAUGCAGUCAUGACAUAGAUGAGAGGGUAUGUCACCUCUACACAUGAACAAUCCAUAGACGGAUACGGACGAAUUUAUACUAGUGACUGUGGUGUUGUAGAAUUUGGUGUUGCCUAUGGCUUUUGAUGACAAUGAAUUGAAGAGGUUUAUGAGAUUGCUUUGGAAGGUGCUGCUUGGUUUGGUAACGUUGAUGGGACAAAUUGUAUUCAGAAAUAAUGGAGAGUCUUGUGCCAUUGUUGCAGAAGAGAGGAAUCUAACAAGGAUAAGGAUAGAUAAAAGGUGAAUUGUAGAGUAAGCCAUGGAAUUUCUUUUUUAAUGAAUCUCCAUUGUUUGAUUUGCAAUGAUAUGUAAACAGUCAUAGACACAAUUUUAUAAAGCUUUUUAUAAAGGUGAACACUAUAGCUGGUGUUUUGGUGGGAACCUUCCUUUUUGGUUGGGACCUAGGCAUUAUCAUUUUUCUAAAAUUGGUUUAAAGUUUUCAUGCUUUGGUCAGAGCAUACUUUUUUGAAAAGAAAAAAAAAUUAAGGUUUUUCUAGAAAUGUAUUUAGCUAAAUAUGUAAUAAAAAAAUCUUGCAUGUCUAUUACUCCAAUCUACUUAAACUUGCAAUUUUUUUGUUAGUAAUUUAAGUUCAUUAACCUCGUUAAUUAGUUGCAUAUUAUGUAACCAAAAAAUUAGUUUCAUAUUUAAAUUUAUUAUUAUAAACUAUCAAUGAAAUAUGACAUCAACGUGGUGGAGGGAGAUUGCUAAAAUCCGUGAUAGGGUGGGUGGUGUUGGAGGUAAUUGGUUUGAGGUGAGUGUCUCGAAAAAGGUUGGAAACGGGUUGCAUUCUUAUUUUUGGUAUGACCCGUGGUUAGGAGGGACUCCUUUGUGUGUGUGGUUUAGGCAUUUAUUUGACUUGGCUAAGAAUAAGUUGAAUACGGUGGCUGAUAUGUUUUCCUGGGUUAGCGUGUGGGGGUGAGGCGUGGAAGUGGCGUAGGAGGUUGUGGGAGGAUGAGUUGUUAGUGGAGUGCAGGACGUUACUUCAUGACAUUGUUUCGCAGACUCAUUUAUCAGAUCAAAGGGAAUGGCAGCCCGAAUUUGUUCGAGGUUAUUCAGUUCGCGGAUUUUAUCAGCUAUUAAACUUCUAAGGAUUUGAUAUCUUUGGACAUGGCGGUGGAUCUAGUUUGGCACAUAUAGGUUCCUUUGAAGGUCUCCAUUUUUCCACGGCGACUACUUCAUGACAGAUUACCUUCAAAAUCCAACUUGGGAGCUUGCGACAUUAUCCCUUUAGAUGCUCAGUAUUGUGUGACUGGGUGUGGAGGUGUUGAAUCAACUCAUCAUUAAUUUAUAUCUUGCAGAUCAUUCGGCUCUCUUUGGCCCUUAGUUUGGUCGUGGAUUGGGUUUUUGGCAGCAGAUCCAUAGUCUCUUUUGGAUCACUUUAUUCAAUUUGUGUAUGCAACACAUGGUUUAAAAGUGCGGCCCUCAUUUUUAUAGCUCAUAUGGCUUCUUUGUGUUUGAGUGUUGUGGAAAGAACGAAACAAUACAUAGAACCUUCAAUUAUUCCGAGAGUUCUAUUCCACAGCUAUGAGAGAAAAUAAAACAUUAUUCUUAUUGGUGGAUGAAGGGAAUGAAUGUGAAUUUUGUCUUUGGCUAUCAUUGUUAGCAUUCGAACCCUUUUACUUGUUUAGGCAUAAGAUGAAUGUCUUUUUUGGCUUCUUUUUGUGAUUGACUUUGUUGUAAACUUUAGUGGUAUUUUUUGGUACUCCUUAUCCUACAAAGAUCACAUUGUUCAUGUUAAUACAUUCUAUUUUUGCUUGUUCAAAAAAAGAAAUAUGACAUUAUACAUUUGAGUGGCAUCGGCUCAAGGGUAAGAGUUUUCCUUUCCAACUUCAAAGUACAAAGUUCAUAUGACAUUGUAUAUAUUUAGAAUUUCUAAAAUGUCAUAUUAAAUAUUAAAAUGAAUUUUAAUCUCAUAGGUUUAUUAGUUUAUUAGUCAAUUCAAAUAUAUGUCAUAUUGCUUACUUAAAUACGUUCAAAUGAAAUGCUUUUUAAUAAGCUAACAUCCCAUACAAAACUUUUUCCUUUUAAAAAGGUUAGACUUAAACUGAAAAAUAAGUCUUUAUCAAGUCACCGACUAUGCCUAAACUUAAUUUUUAUCUUUUACCAAAUUAAACUCGAACCUUAUAAAGUUUAACUCCAUCAAACCUAUUCGCAGUGGUACCCAACAAACCUACAUGGUAUCAAUGAAUUUUUCUUAUAUAAGUUAAAUCUUUGACUUUUUUUUUCUUUCCAUCCUAUUGAUUUCUUGCGCGUCCUAUGUAGUUCGGAUUGUAUAAUCCAAACGGCAUAAAUAUCUUAUAAAAACUUAAAAAAUAUGUUAAAAUAUUUCGGAUUUUAAAAUGCGAAUAGAACGUGCGAGAAACUGAUAAGUGAAAAAAGUAAUAGCCAAAAUCUUUUCAUAAAGGAUUUUUCUACGGUGCCUCCUUUUUCAUAAAAGUAAUACCAUUUUAAGUAUUUUCCAUCAUUCAUAGAAGUAUUUUACGAAUUUUUUUUAAUGAUAUUUAGAUUUUCAUUAAUAUUUUAAAAAAAUUAGUAUACGGUUCAAGGACCGACGAAUCAGGAGGAAGGAUUUUCAAACUAAGACUGAAUGGAUAUUUUGGAUUUGAAGUCUCCAUUGCGUCGAAUUUUCUCUCUUCCUUUGAUUCUGUGUAUCUGUUUGGAUCUUUUCGUUUUAUGAGCAUCUUUUUGAAUAAAGUUUUUCCAAGGUUGUGGACCAUAUGCAAUGUGGAAUGCUUCUUUAUGUCAAUCAUCUUUCAAUAUUGACCUUAUCUUCAAGUGUGUAUCACAUGUGGUUUGAUAAACACAUGGAACGUUGAAUUAUACUUUACAUUAUCAAGUUUUACUCCCUCCAUAUUUUCGUUUGAAGUUUGAUUUUAUAUUCCUAUUGGUUUUUUUAUUUUUAUUUUGAAUGUUAUUUAUUUGUCUAUUUUAAAGUAUUAUAUGAUAUAAUUUGUUCAUAAUUAUAUGAUGAAAGUUUUUUGAAAGAAAAGAUGCUUAUAGAAUUUCAUUAAUAAUAUUACUAGAAUAAGCUACCGUGAGAUUGAUUCUAUAACAAAAAAAAUAGUAUAUGUGGCAGAGUUAGAUACAAGAAAAACGUAGUUUACCUCACUCAAAUAUCCUCCAUUUUGCACACUUGCAUCGCAAAAGGACACUAAAUAAUAAUAAGAGCAAGACACACAUGUGUUGGCAAACAACCCAUAUACAUUAUCCAAAUAAGGUUCUUCACCAUGGGAGGAAAUUUUAAACGACAGAUGCUGGACCAAAACCCCAGGCGCCUCAAAUGAGUCGUAUCAACCAAAUUGUCAACACAUGACUUGUACGCACUUCAGACAAAUACAAACCAUUUUUCUCAGCUUUCCAAACCAACUGGUCAUUAGGAACAUGAUUAAACAGUGCAUGUUUAGAAUAGAAGUCGCUAUGUCCUGACUGAAAACCUACUUUACUAAAUCACCAUUCAAACUUUUGGAAUUAGUAGUCCAUUAAACUAUCCACCAUAAAGUCACGAACAAAGUGAGCCCUUGUGAUAUUAGCAUCAAUACAACCAUCAUUCAAAAAUCGAGGUUCAUCAAGAAUGGAACUAGAGGUACCUGAGUCUAUACUCCAACGUGAUCCACCACGAACAAUAAAUCCAGCGUGCAAAAUACUACGCCAAACAUAGUUAGGAUUAUGGCCCAAUGUGGUAGUGAGAUAGCUUUUUGUAGGAAAGUACCUGCUUUAAAAAUACAGGAAACAAGAGAUUGCUGGUAUGAGAGAAAUUUCUAACCUAGCUUACCUAACAUGUCAGUUUUAGAAGUUGAGAGGUCUUUAAACCCCAUGCCACCAUAGUUUUUAUGCAUUGAUAGCUUCUCCCAUGACAUCCAAUUGAUACCACGACUAUUGGUGCCACAAUGCCCACACCAAUAAGAAUUGAUCAUUUUCUUUGUAGAUGUAACAAGGGUUGUUGGUAAUUAAAAGAUGAUCAUGACGUAUGUUAGAAUAGCUUGAAGAAUUGAUUUAAUUAUUACUUCCCUCCUCGUCUUAGAAAGGCACUUACUACUCCAAGAGUUAAUCUUAUCCCAGACUUGAUCAUUGAUAUAGGAGAAAGUAGCAUUCCUAUCCUGCCCUAUCAUAGAUGGCAGACCCGAAUAUUUUCUUGUGCCAAGGACAAACUGGACUCCCAAAAUGUUAGUAAUGGUCAACGUCAUGGAAUCCGACACAUUCCAACUACAAUAAAUUUCUGAUUUGGAUAAGCUAAUGGCUUUCCCCGAGGCUGUCUUAUAGGUAGUAAGAAUAUCUUUCAUUAUUUGAGCUUGGUUCACAUAAGCUUUGAAGAAUAGGAAUCAAUCAUCGACAAAGAGAAUACGAGACACUGGAGGUGCAUCUCUACAAACUUGAGUACCAUUAAUAACACCAUGAUCUUCAGCAUCUCGAAUGAGAGAGGACAACCCCUCCGCACAAAUAAUGAAAAAAUACGGGGAUAAAGGGUCUACUUGACGCAAACCUCUUCCAGGAAUAACUGGCCCCACUAAUUCAUAGUUGACCAACGCAGAGUAAUCAACCGACUUAACACACAUACUCAUUCAAUGUAUCCAUCUAUCAUUAUAACCCCUUUUCAGCAUCACCUGCUUCAAAAAUUCCCAGUCGAUACGAUCAUAUGCUAUACCUAUAUCUAGUUUCAAUGCCACACACCCCUCACAACAACAAGUCUUUGUUUUCAUGUGAUGGAUGACUUCUAUUGUAACCAUGACAUUAUCAAGAAUUGACCUCCUAGGUACAAAGGCUGACUGAUUAUCAGAGAUACACUGUGGGUGAAUAAGCUUCAAUCUAUUUGCGAGAACCUUAGAGAUCCAUUUGUAGAGAACAUUACAUAGGGCUAUUGACCGUCAAUCUUUCAUUGUAGUAUGAGAAUUACCUUUUGGGAUGAGAGCAAUGUUUGUCAGAUUAAGAGAAGCUGGAAGUUGACAUGUAUCGAACCAUGCACAACAUUGUUGAAAUAUCUCGUCACUACACAAAUUAUAGAGUUGCUAAUAAAAACCAGGAUCAUAAACCAAAACAUUCUCAAGCAAGAAAGAAAAAAACAAAACAAGAACAACAAAAACAAACCAAAGAAAAAGAGCAAAACAAGAAACGAACCAACCACAAAUCAAUCUGGUAACCUACCCUUAGAGCAGGUAUUAUGAACCUGAAAACCCUUAUGUAUUUUCUUUUUCUUAUUCUUAAAGUUUAGGGUUUAUGGUUUAGUCUGAGAUACCACCUCAGUAAAUGGCUCAUCGAUAGCAACAAAAUGGUUCUUCAAAUAAAUGAUAGUUGUUGCUAUCUCUUCCUCAAGAAAACCAAAAAUAUCAAUCAAAAUCAAUUUUAUAUUUAUAAAUUCACUUUUACCUCUCACAAAAUUAAACACUGUACACAUAGUACUCGGAUAAAACAUAUCAACCAAAAUCUGAAUUCAGCAUGUUUGGUACUAACCGUACUGAUGCCAAUAAUUAUAAAAUUGAAAUCCUAUCAAGACUGAAUAUUAAAAGAGAAAGGAACAUUGCAAGCAAGGAGAGUAAGCAUAAGUCCUUCACAUCAUCACAAUAGAAGAAACCAUUUAUACUAUGUCUUCUAAAGCAAUCUGUCAUCAAGCUACUGUUUUGCCUUGUUUUCAUCGUGCAAUCUGUUCCCAGAUUUAAAAGAAUGGUUCCUCUUAAAAAAAAUCUAUCAUUUUUUUUUUGUUAGCUUUCUUCAUUGAAGAAAGUGUAGAGACUUUGAUUUUAUAUUUUGUAACCAAAUAUAUCCUCCGCGUGCAACUAUGGAGACCAGGAUAUUUAUCCCCUCUAGAUAACAGAGAUCUAUUUAAGGGGUUAAUCUCUUUCCUUACGUCCUUGCCAUAGAUAGAACCCUGGACCAAAUGGUUGAUAGGUCCAAGUAUCUAUCACUUGUGCCAAACUCUAUUGGCUAAGUUGUGUUAAAUUUAAACGUGCAGAGAAGUUCUUAGGUGGACACUAACAUAACAUUAAAAUUAAAUCAAAAUCAAAAGAAACAAAUUGUUUCUUUCUUAUUUUGAUAAUAUAUGGGAUAAUUGUAUAAAACAGUCUUGCAUGCAUGAAGGAGGAUGCCAAUUUAUGUCCUGCUCAUGAGUCACAACUCCUACCGCUGCAGUGUCUAGCUAGCACACUGCUAUCAGGAACCUGAUCAUCAGAAUAUUUGGAUCUUAGAAUCAUAGUGAAAGCUGCAAGAAUGUAAUGUGAUUAUGAAUGUAUAGUGGUUUAACUAAUAAGGUGACUAAAGAAGUUUAUUUAAGCUUUAAAAUGAUAUAAAACUCUGCAAACUUACGUAGAGAAAAGGACAUGUAGAUAUGUUAGAUUUCAACAAAUAAUCUAUCUUGUUUUUCUUAGCUUUAUUAACUGAAUAAAAUGUUGAGACUUUGAGUUGUAUUAAAACAUAGAAAUGGCAAGGGACGAAGUAAAUAGAGUCCACUGAAAUUAGAGGAAAAUAGAGUCCACUGAAAUUUGUGAUAAAAUAUUAUAAUAAAUAUUAAGAAAAUGGUGAAGGAAGAAUAUUUCAAAACCUCAUUCUUCCAUUUUAUGUCAUCUUAAACUUCAUCAUUGUCACCGGGGAGUGAAAGUAGAGACUCUGUAUACAACACCACACGCGAUGAUCUUAGAUUCUCACGGAAGUAGUGCUGCCCUAACAACUGUCCUUUAUCAUUGUACUUCACCAAUAAAUUAACAUAGUUUGUUCCAAUGAUAUCAUAAUUUUUUGUAGAGUAUACAGGGAAAAUGUCACAACGAGGAAGAACAAGUUUCUUAUUCCAAGAGGAACGCACUUUGUAUUCUUUCAUCACCCAUAUUUUUGAUGUAUGAUUUCCAUAAUCGACAUCCAAUAGACUAAGAAAAUCUCCAAAUACCCACAAAUGACGAUGUGAAAACUGAUAGUGAAAAUCAUGAUCUGGAAGAGGGAUCUCAAAAAGUUUCCUUUCUAUUAAAUCAAAGGCAACAAUAACAAACACAGAUAAAUCAUACCGAAAAGUCAACCAAUGAAUAGCCCUAUUAAAGAAAACCCCUUGUUUGGAAUGAUCAUUAUUGGGAUUCAUAUAAGGGAAAUGAGCACCCUCAAUUUGUUUCCAGGUAUUAUCUCUCAAAGAGAAAACCUCCAAAUGUGGUAAAACGACAUUAUUGGAUAUGAUUGGGUCAUAGCCCAUUAGAACCACCAAGUAAUCAUUUCUUGACUGGUCAUAACCAAAACCAUAUAGAUUAGUAUUUACACGAUGCCUUAUGAAUUUGGAAUCAAGAGGAGACAAAGGUAUUUGUUUUUGAAGUCCAGUAGACGGGUUCCAUAUGUAGAGUCUUGAAAAACAGUGGAAAAAUAUAAAUCCUCUACAUGAACCUUUAAUAUAAGCAUGAGGAUAGGGAAUAAAAAAAUUAUUAAGGUUCACUGAAGAAGCAGAAUCUUCUGCCGAUUCAAAAUCUAUCGAUCGAAAUUGAAGAGGUGAACACAAAAUGGACAGAAUUCUUAGAGUGUGUGUUGCGGCGGCAAGAUCAAAAUGUGAAUUCGCAAAGUUGGGAUGAGAGAUGAGAGAAAACCAAGACUUACAAACACACUUGAAACGUGAGAGAGACUUUACUGGUUACCUUAGCAGGAUUUCGAUUAUCAGUUCAUGAGGCAGAUACAUAUGCGUUGUCUUCUUCUUCAUGCUUCUUCUUCCCUCUGGUACACUUCGAGUAACCCUAAUUUUAUCACCGAUGAUUGAUGCUAAGUUAUUUCUUUUUUUUUUUAUUUUUUAUGAGAGAGUAAGGUAAAACUAAAUUUAUUCUAUUCUCGUCCUAAAAAAAAAAAGGCUAAACAUACUAGUAUAUCACUACUGAUCUGUAGAAUAAUCUACAAAGUCGGUUGGGCCGUUAAUGAGCUUUAGCUAAGGUCCUAUUUUUGUUGUUGCUAAAUAAAACCACAAAGCCAUUAUAAAAUAUUAAAUAUUUUUCUUUUAAAAAAAAAACAUUAAAUAUUAUAUGAUGCCAGCUGUAUCAACAUAAAUUUGUAACAUGUACUCCCUCCGAUUUCUAAAUAUAAACAAAAUUAAUUUUUUAGAUUCAUUCAUUUAAUGAUGCAUGUGAUCCAUAUUAUGAAUCACAUAUAUCAUUAAAUGAAUGAAGCUAAAAAGUCAAUUUUACUUGUAUUUAGAAACAUAGGUAGUAUAGUAUGUUGAAGGACCAUAUUAAUCAUUUUAAUUUGUAACAUGUAUAACUAAAUAUUUUUAUAUUUUCUGAAAAUUUCUUAGAAAAUCGGAAAAAAAAUAAAGGAUAAAGGGGCCGUUUGUUACAGAUUAAAAUAUAAGUUAUUUUGACAUAAAAUAAUUUAGAGAUUAUAGUUUAGAGAUUUUAUGAAAAAUCAAGAUCUAUUUUGUGUUUGUUUACCGUAAUAAAAAUCACUUUUUUUAAACAAAUAAUGUAGUUUGUUUGGAUACAACUAUAUAAAAGGAAUUUUUUGUUACAAAAUUAGUUCAAUCUUUUAAAAAAUAUUUUCUCUCUCCUCUAAAAAAACAUCUUUUUUUUGAGAAGCUGCUCUUAACAGCUUUUUAUUUGAAGUUAUUUUAGAUUUUUUUAGUAAAAAGUUGUAACAAACGGAUGCAAAACUCAAAACAGUGUUUAUUUUUUUUAAAAUAAAUAAUUUAAGAGAGACUUUACUGGUAACGUAAGCAGGAUUUCGAUUAUCGGUUCGUGAGGCAAAUACAAAUGCGUUGUCUUCAUCAUGCUCCUUCUUCUCUGGUACCCUUCAAGUAACCCUAAUUUUAUCACGAAUGAUCGAUGCCAAGUUAUUACUUAUGAGAGAGUACCGUAAAACUAAAUUUAUUCUAUUCUCGUCCUUAAAAAAAGGUGAAACAUAGCGUCGUAAAAAAAAAGGCUAAAUAUAUUUGGGUAAGGACCAUAUUAAUCAUUUUAAAUUGUAUGUAUACUUAACAUUAUAAUAUUUUCCGAAAACAUUCUCAGAAAAUCGGAGAAAAAUAAUCAAGGAUCAAGACUCCCUUAGAAUGAACUUUUUAUAAGACUCCAUCCGUCAAAAUUCAAAAUUCUAUCCUUUAGACUCAUUUUUUAUUUUUAACUUUUUGCAGCUGUUGAAAUAUGAGAAAAUUCUUAAUGCUGCUUUUGUAUAAACUUAUUCCCGAUUAUAUAAUCCAAACAUAUUCAAAUUGUGUUCGGAUUAUAUAAUCAGAAACCUCAUGAGUGUUUUUGUAAGAAAAAAGGGAGUGUGAGAAGGUAAUAGGGUGGAAAAAGUAAUAGAUCUAUUGGUUAUAAUAUGUGCUCUAACAUGGUAGACGGACUUGAAAAAAUACGUUAAAUGGGCUUAACAGUGAAAUCUUGUUUUCCUUUCUAGCUUAUACAUACCUCACAGCUAGUAUUGGGCAUAAUCCGAUUUAUGUUUGAAGGAGCAUUCUUCGUGCUAGAUUUAUUGUACGCGGGGGUGUAAGGUGGAGUAUUGGGACAGGUGAAGCUAUUACUCUCCUUGAUGAGUCAUGUUUAUUGAAUGGUGGGUUUAUUAAAGGUAAUAUCGAAGGAGCACAUUUUGUACAAAAUUUUGUUGUCAAUAGAUUUCUAAAGAAUACUGCUAAGAGAUGGAAUGAACCCCUUAUUCGGCAAGUCUUCAGUCACGAUAUUUCUUCUGCCAUCAUAACAACAUCUUUGAUUGCACAGGUUCAGCAUGAUAGGCUAGUUUUGAAAGCAGAAAAGAAUGGGGUUUACUUUAUGCGCAGCGCGAAUAAACUUUGUGUCGAAGAGUUAAUUGAUACCUCUCUCAUUUAAGGAGUCCGGGGUAUUGGUAGGGGAUUUGGCGAAAAUACUUUUUUUUUUUUUUGAAAACUCGGUAUCCGAUCCAAGAAUCGACUAAUCCGAGGGACCAAUCCCACCGCCCACUUGCGGGGGCCCCGUUUAAAGCCAGAGCAAGCUCUGUAUGGACUUAGCCCACUGAAAUUGGCACCAUCGGGAAUCGAACCUCAGACCUCUGGAGGAGCAAACUUCAAGAUCCCAAGCCAACCACUAGGCCAACCCCAAAUGGGAAAAGGGAGUUGGUUGUUUCCGACCAUGGGAAAGAUUUUUUUGACCAUUAGAUCAAAUAAGGAACACAUUUUAAUCCUACUCUCUAAAACACUAGAUUUUUUCACACUUUCUUCUACCAUUACUCUCUCUCCUCCAUGGUCACUCACCCACCACCUCCACCAGAGCAUAACUCCAUUGUUUCUGUCCAAUCUCUCAUCAACAAUCUUCAAUUCUUCUUGAAUUGCAAGAGGGUUAAAUCAUAAAUAGUAAUUAAAUUUAUUUAUUCUCCAAAUCUAAUGAAUUUUCAAUUCAAUGAUACACUGUAAGUCUACAACAACACAAUCAAAAGUUAAUUCAAAGAGAAAAAAAUAAAAUAAUGGAUUGCAGUAUUUCAUUUUGCAUUAAGAACCCACAUAACUUUGAAAUCAGUAGUUGAUUCAUGAACUAAAAAAAUAUUGCAAGAAAAUUGGCUUGCAAUAUUAUGAAUCAUGAUGUGUUGAUCAUGAAUUCUGUCAUUCGAUGCAUCUAAUGGAUUUGUUAUUUUUUGUUUUGUUUUAACAUAGGCCUCUAGAAGGAUGAACAAUGAAACUAAUUGAGUGUUGAAACCAUGUAGUUAAAUUUGGAAAGGAUUGUAAAGCAUAAAAUGUUAUAUUCAAUGUCUUAGAGAAAUCAUUUGAUGUUGUUGUUGUUGAUGAUGAAGAUUGUUUGAUUGUGUGUAAAAUUCCAUAUCUAUGAGGAUGAAUAAAAUAUAGGUAGACCAUGAUAAGAUCAAUACACCUCUUUAAUCUAAUGGUAGAAAUUCAAAUUUCCCAUGAUGGGAAAAAACUUCUUUCUCCUAGGCUAAAUGCCAUGUCGAGGAAUUUUGCCAACUCGAGAAUGGCUACUAGACAUAGGAGUGCAAUGCCCAUCUAAUUGUGUAAGUUGUGAGUUAGCCAAUGAAGAUUUGGCGCAUAUAAUGUUUGAAUGUCCCUUCGUUGUACAACUCUUGCAUAUUACAGUCUACGACACGAUCUACAACAUGCAAUCAGCAAGGAGAUCGUGGUUGUUGAUGCAAUUUUCAACCUUCUGCGCACCUUACUGCUGAACAUAGUCAAAGAUUCGCAGCCAUCCUUUGGAGCUUAUGGAAACAUAGGAAUUUAAAGGUGUGGGAGGAUAAGAAUGAGCCUUGUGCUAUGAUUGUUGACAGAGCAUGUAACAACCCAUUUUUCCGUAAGAUAAUUUUUUAAAUUAUUAUAUGUGUUUAAUUUCUUGUUUAUGUGUUUGAUGUGGGAUUAGCGGAUUUUUAGGCGAGAAGGAUAUUUUAGUCAUUUUUAGGACUAAGGGUAUUUUGGUAAUUUGAGGAGCGAGGGUAAACUAGUAACUUUAGAAUAAAGGGUAUUCUAGUGUUUUUGUGUGAAUAACUUGAGGUAAUUAUUUUCAGAUGGUAAUUAAUGAUACUAGCAUUGAAACCCGUGCCAAGCAUGGGCUAGACUUUCGUCAAAUUUAAUAUAUUGGGUGAACAUAUGGUAUCAUGCACAUCUGUGUGGUCGCUUUGUGUUCAAUGAGUCAAUCAACACCAGUGUUGGCUCUCCCGUACGGUCCAACGUACCAUAGGCCCAUUCAACUUUGUGGGGGAAACGAUUGUUGUUCUUGGUGGUAGAUUACAGAUGCAGAAAGUCUCAUACUUGAGAUAAAGAGGUCAAUGUGUCAAGUGUUAUUUAAAGUUCCACAUUGGAUGCAAUAGUAAAUGUUGAACAAUAUAUAAGUGAUAUGACUCAUAUAUUAAUGACUUAAUGUGUGGUUUCUUUUAAUCUAACGUGAUGAUCAAACUCAAUAUAGGAUCCUCCGAAACUCACAACAUUAUGAUGUACUGUUUUUUUAGUUUUUGGAAGUUAUUUGUUUAACUUUGGGUUAAUUACAGUUUUGAUCAUCAUAUUUUCACUCACUCAUAUAAUUUGUCCCUCCAUUUCAAAAUCACAUAGUUUUGUUCCCUCUUUUAGAUUUUAUAAACUUAAAGAUGGUGAUAUGUCAUGUUUAAAUUAAAACAUAAUGAAAGUUUUCAAAUAAUUAUGUUGGUAUUGAUCAUUUUACAUCAUUGGAUUGUAUGUCAUGUUAUUUAAAAUAUGUCCAUCAUUGUUUUUCAGUCUUAAAAUAAGAUAAAGAGAUCAAAACUGAGUGAUCUUAAAAUGAACGGACCAAUUUCACGAUUUACUAUAAAUGAGGGACUAAAACUGCAAUUAAGUCUUUAAUUUUUGAAUUUUAAAUUUUAGUUUUUUGAUGCUAUUCUUUUUCUUGUGAUUUUUUCAUUUAACCUCUGUUAUUCUCUUUCUUGUGAAUUUAUAAAAUCUGAAAUUGCUGAUCAUUUGUUCCUUACCUGUCACUUUGCUACUAAUCUCUGGAAAUGGCUUAAACCUAUGAUCCAUUACUCCAUCAAUUGCAACUCCAUUCUCUCUCUGUUUGAUGUUUGUCAAAGAGGUUGGAGUUCGAAACGCAAGCUUACCAUCAUCUCAUCAAUCAUCUAUAUUCUCAAUGCUAUCUGGUCUUGCAAGAACUCUUUUAGGUUCAAAGGUGAAAAACCAAAUAUGAAAUCAACAAUAACGCAUAUUAUAGCAAAUGUAUCUAUAGCUGGCAACCUUACCAAGUUAGCUACUGGUUCUGCAUUUAGAGAUUUCACUGUGUUAAAGACUUUCAAAGUGAAUACACAUUAUCCUAAUGAACCUAAGAUCACUGAAGUCAUAUGGAGCCCUCCAAUAUUGCAUUGGAUCAAGUGCAACACUGAUGGAGCAGCUCUUGGCACCACCGGUCAAGCAGCUUGUGCAGGUAUUUUCAGAAACCGAAAUGGAGAAAGCCUUGGCUGUUUUGCAGUUAAUUUAGGGAUUGAAAAUGCUUUUUAUGUUGAGCUCAUGGGAGUGAUUUUUGUUGUUGAAUGUGCUAUUAAGAAAAGAUGGACUCAUCUCUGGAUUGAAAACGAUUCAAAAUUGGCUAACUUGGCAGUCAAGUCACAUAAUAUAGUUUCUUGGCAGAAAAAGAAUAGAUGGCUAAACUGUUUGCAUUUGAUGACUGGUUUGACCUGUAUGAUCACACACAUGUAUAGCGAAGGAAAUCAUUGUGCUGAUAAGCUAGCCAGCAUAGGGUUAACCGUUGAUGGUUUCACUUGGUGGUCUUCACCCCAUGUUAAUAUUAGAGCAGACCUUGUCAAUAAUAGACUUGGUCUCCCCUAUUGUAGGUUCUCUAAGCUUACUUUGAGGGCUUGGUUUGGUCCCCCCUCCUUUUUGUACCUCACUUUUGAUUUUAAUAUAUUUUGGAUGAGGCCGUGAUAGGCUCAUCAGUUAAAAAAAACAAAAUAUUCUUUUGGUUAAUGGUGGGAAAUGAUAAUAGAAAAUUGAAGAUGUGUUAUGUUGGGUUGAUAAAUACAUGUUUAUUACAUAUUUAAAAUUACGUGGUGUUUUUUAAUUGAAUCUAAUUUUUUUGCUAAAAUGAUUAUCCAAAAAUCUUCAACUCCUUCAACAAACUCAUAGAUUUAUCAACAACUCACAAUCUUUCUUAUACUUUCACAAACAAAACACACAAUACUUAUUUUUUUUUUCUUUUAGCUUCUCUCAUAUUCAAAUUUAUUUUUGGUAUCUUUGUUUUUCCUUCUAUUUUUUCCCCCCUUCCCAUGUACGAAAGGAACAUAAACCACUUGUAAUGAAACCAACACCAACAAAUUUUUUUAAACAUACUGUAUCUUCCUUUGAUCUUAUUUGACUAUAUCAUGUAAUUAUGAACAGGAGAGUUGCAAAUUUGAAUAAGAGGUGUUGAUGUGUCAAGUAUGAGUUAAAAAUUUAUAUUGGAUGGAAUGAUAAAUUUUGAACAACAUAUAAUUGAGAUGGAAGGAUAUAAAUUUCACUUGUGUAUUUUCUCUUGGUCUAAUGUGGUGAUAAAACUCAAGAUAGGAUCCCUUGAAAGUCCCAAAGUUAUGAUGAAUUAUUUGUUAGUUUGUGGGUCUCAUUUAUUUAAUUUUUAUAUGUUAAAUUUUAGUUAUUGGAGAUCGUUCAUUUUCAUGCUAUAUUUUUUAUUCAACCUAACUUAUUUCAAAUUCCUUCACUUUUGGUCUUUGGUAGAACUUCACAAUGGAAAAAUACAUGUGUUUUACUAAGUUGACAAAAUACAUACUUAUUUAAAAUUUUAAAUUUGAGUCUAAUUUUUGGUAUAUUAAUUACUCCAAAUUCUUCAAGAAACCCAUAAAAUUACCAGCUACGAACAAUAUUUCAUAUACUCUCACGGUCAAAGCACACACUCAUUUUUUUUUCCCUAACCAUUUCUCUCAAGUUAAAAUUUCUUUUUCAUCUUAUUUCUUUUUCUGGUUUAGUUUCUUUAUUCACAUGAAUGAGAGGAAUAGAAACAUCUCUUCAUAAAAUCACCGCAAGUCUAUUUUUUUUUUUACAAUGUUGUGACUAAGUAUAACUUUAUUUGGUUAUGUUACCAGAUUGCAGAUGUAGAGAGUCUCACAUUUAAGAGAGAAGUUAUUUUGUCAUAUAUGAGUGAGUAUGUGGUAAGAAUAAUAUAAGUGAGAUGACUCAUACAUAAUGCUUUAAGGUUUUAACUGAACAUGUGGUGUGUUCGUCUCACUUUUAUGGUUUCUAUUAAUGUAAUGUGAUUGUUCAACUCAGUUUAUGUUCCCCUGAAAGUCACAACAUUAUGAUAAACUAUUUUAUUUGUUUUAGAUGCCUGUUGUUUAAAUUUUUUUAUCUAUUUUUUUAGUCAAUCUUUAUUAUUUUAUAAAUUAUAAAAUUGUAGACGCGUAAUACUGAGUUGACAAAUUAAAUGUUGAAUGCUAACAACAUUCACUUUUGCACACUCUCUUUAGCACUCACUAUUUUAUUGGAUGAAAUCAAUGUAUAUCCCACCACUUUAUGCGAGUUCUAUUUCCAAAGUGUAGAUCCGCAAUGAUUUAAACCAAUAAGAAAGUGAGUAUUAGAGAGAGUGUUCAAAAGAGGGUGGUGCUAGCACUACUCUAUUAGACAUUUUAAGCGCAGAUGUGGUGUUAGUCUUACUUGUAUGAUUGCUAUUAUCAUAAUGUGAUAUUUCGACCAAUUCUAGGCUUCCUUUGUAGACUCAACAUUAUGAUGAACUAUUUUGUCGAUUUUUGAAUGUUAUUUGCUAUUUUUUGAAGAGUUAAUUAGCUAAAAGGUCUCUAUAAAUAUCAAGAAUUUCUUUGUACCAAAAAAAAAUUGAAGAAUUUCAUUUUUAAUACCUACAAAAAUAAAUCGCACAUCUUGGCCCUUGUAAAAUUAUUAUGUCAGCAUUUUUAAUCACUGUAAAAUUUUUCGUCAACAAUUUGGCCCAUAAAAUGUUCAAAGGAAAAUGUUACAACGAUUAAAAAUGUGACUUAUUUCUAUGGACUAAAAACAAAAAAAAAUCUUAUUUAUAUUGAAUAUUUAUUUAAUUAACCUUUUUUCUGUAAAACUUUGUUGUCAGAUGUCAUUAGCUUUCAUUGUAUUUUUGUAUUCAACCUCCAUUAUUUUAAAUUCUUUCACUUCUAGUUUUUGGGGGAUGUGACAAUGGAAAAUCUAGAUGAGUUAUGAUGAGUUUACAAAAUACAUGUUUAUUAGACUUUUUAAAAUGAUGUGAUGUUUUUUUAAUGAAGUCAUACUCUUUGGUAAUACGAACCCAAAAAUAUUCAACUUCUUCAACAAAACCAUAUAAUUACCGGUAACUCAAACUAUUAUAUACUAUCACCGAUGAAACACACAGUACAUAUUUUUCUCUUAUUAUUUCUCUCAUGUCCAAAUUAUUUUUUUAUCUUAUUUCCUUUUCUAACUUCUCAUGAAAUAAAAGAACGUAAACCCCCAUGCAUUAAAUCACCAUCAACCAAUUUUUUUUUUAUUUUUUUUUUUUACCAUCAAAUGACUUCAUCUGAUUUUAUUUGGCUAUGUUACAAAAUCACCGAUGCGAAGAGUCUAACACGUAAAGGAAGAGAUGUUAAUAUGUGUUAUAUUAGUUAAAGUUUCAUAUUGCAUGCAAUAUUAGAAAGUGGAAAACAUAAAGUGAGGUUGCCCUUGUAUUUAAUGCCUUUAGAAUUUGCAUGAAGGUGUGAUGUUAAUCUCAGUUGUGCAGUUUCUCUUAGUAUAAUAUGAUUAUCCAACUCAAUUUAGGCUCAUGUGGAAGUCUUGUCAUUAUGACGAAUUGUUUUCUUCAUUUUUAGAUGUCAUUCGCUUAAUCCUUACUUUCUCAUGAAAGAAAGGGGAAAAAAAACUCCUUGUAUGAAACCACCACAAUCCCAUAGUUUUUAGCAUGGUGUGCAUCCUUCUAGCUUUAUUUGGUUAUGUCUCUCUAUUAUAGUUGCAGAGAGUAUCACACUUAAGGGAGAUAUGUUAAUAUGUCAAGUGUGAGUUAAAGUUCUAACUUGAAUGCAAAAGUAUAUGUUGAACAAAAUAUAAAUGAGAUGACUGAUAUAUCUGAUGACUUAAGGUUUUGAGUCAAUAUGUAGUGUCAUUUUUUCAAUUGUUUAAAAAAAUCCAUAAAAUUACCAACAAUUCUUGCAAAAAUUUUACAAGUGAUGUCAAUCACCAAGCAUAAUUAAACUAUUAAUUUCUUCAAGUAAAAAAUCAAGAUGAAAUAUGUUUCAGGUAUAAGGAAUAUUUCAUUUGUCAUGAUUAAUUUGAAAUAAAAAUCUAUUUUUUUUUCAUUGUAAUUUUUCAACUCUAAGGAUUUAGUCUAGUAGUAAAAGAACAAACUUUGAUUUAAAUAUUCUGAGUUUCGAGCUCUGUUGGUAUCCUUGAAGAUAUAUAGAUGUAAGUAUAUUUGUGAGAGCUCUUUUAUCUCUAAGGUCUUCCAUAUAUUGCACAAAAUCAUCACUCUUUUAUCUCUAACAUAUUUUCAUCACUCAUUAAUUAUCCAAAAUUUUUUAAAAAAAUAAAAAAAAACCAUAAAAUUAACAUCAACUUCUAGAAAAUGUGUUUGAUCAAACAAUUGCAAUUAGCAAGAACAAUUAAAUCAAUAGCUUCUUUCAAUAAAAAAAUCAAGAUAAGAGAUGAUUCGGGUAUAAGGAAUAUGUCAUUUUUUCUCCCCGAUGACAAUGAUUAACAAGAGCAAUUAAAUCAAUAACUUCUUUUAGUAGACGAUUAUUACCAAGAACAAUUAAAUCAUAAAUUUCUUUUAGUAAAAAGAUCAAGGUGAAAAUGAUCUCGGUAUAAGGAAUAUGUAAUUUCUUGUACCUGAUGCCAAUUUAGGUAGGGUAGUAAGAUUUAAAAAAAAAAUUAUUUGUCAUGAUUAAUUUAAAAUAAAAACCCAUUUUAUAAUUUUUUUUUCUAUUUUCAAACUCUAAGAGUUUAGUCUAGCAGUAAAAGGACAAACUUUGGAUUUAUAGGUUAUAUAUUUUGACCCUUGUUAAUAUCCCUGAAGAUAAGUAGAUAUAAAUAUAUUUGUGAGUGCUCUUCCAUAUCUAAGAUAUUCCCCACCUUGUACAGAAACAAUAUUCCCUCACCAUACAAUUUUUUACCGAAAAAAUUCAUUGUGAUUUUUGUAUUUUAAUAACGGCAUUAAAUGUCAAAUCUCAAGAAUCAUUAUGAUCAAAUGAUCAUUAAAUAAUUACCCAGUGUACAUUUUUCUGUAUAGAAUUAGGCAUAUAUGUAUUAAAUAGCUUUUUUGUACCUAAAAAAAAUAAAAAUCGAGACAAACUUUAUAUAAAAUUAGUAAAAUUCAUUGGAUCACACUACUAGAAAAAGCAAAAUUAGCGAGGGAAAUUAAUGACGGAAAAAUGAAAUUCCUCACAAAUUUCUUGGUCGCAAAAAUUAGUGACGGAAUUAGAGAGGGAUUUUACGUUUUCCCUCACUAAAUUUUCCUCACUAAUUUUGUUUUUUUAGUAGUGUCAUUGCUCAAAUUUACUUAUGGCCAUCACUCAAUUCUCUUUCAAAAUAUUUAUACCUAUUUCGAUAAUCAUAUGAUUUUCCCAUGUUUUUGAAUAAUCAUUUUUCUUUUAGAAUAUCUCAAAAGUGAAACUUUUAUUUUGGAAUAAAAAUUUGAGGCUUUUCAACGACUACUAUAGAAAUUUUAAAUUUAAACAAAACCUUUUUUAAAAUCAAACAUAAUGCACAUGUUUGAACUUUAUUUUGCAUAACGGACAUGAUAUAUAAAAAGAAUAUAGUGUACACGAAACAGAAAAAUUGCACUACUAUUAAAUCAAGACUGCAUUUUUGUCCAUCAUUUAAAGUUUAUUUAUCAUUGUAUCCAUGAUUGGUCAUUUUUAUUGAAAUUUCGUGUGGAACACAUUCGUAAAGUUUAACAUCUGCCUUUGCGUAAAGUUUAACAUUCGUAUCGGAUCACAUUUUGAAUUAAUUUUUUAAAAUCAAACUAAACCGCAUACAUAUAAUUUAGUCUUUAUUUAUUUAUUUUUUUACAAAAAUUAAUCUUUAUUUACUUUUCAUUAGUAUAAUAUAUUGAAUUUAUCUAUCAUUCCUUAGAUUUUAAUUUUGUUAAUACUACUUAUACUUAUUAGUUUUUUUUUGCAUUUCAUACGUUUCGAACUCACACAGUUUCCUUAAAAAGGAAACACAUUUUCUUGUUUUAAUUUUUUUAAUAACAAUACAAUUAUUAUUAUUUAUUUAGUUGGGAUGAAGAGGAAGAUUCUGAAAAAAUAAUUGUCUAUAUAUAGCGAAAAAAUCUUACAUUAAUUAUGUCAUAUGACAUUUAAGGACGAAUGAAGUAAUCUAUAAUCAUUGAUUGAUAUUCAAGUUAAAGGUUAAAAUGUAGAGUUUGUACAAAAAGUUACUCAUGGACUUGAUAUAUUCAUCUUCUUAAAAAUAUUUGUAUAUAUCCAUGCCUAAUCAAAAUGAUGGUUUGUCACUUUUUAACAUCACGGACAAACAAAAACCUAAUAAUGCGCGAACUAACAAAUUUACAUAAUAAUAUUAGAAAUAAAAAAAAAUUGUAUUAAGAGCAAUGGAAAUUAAUUAGAGGAUUAUGUAAAAAAAUGACAAAUCAUAAUGACAGUAUAAUUGCAAAUUAAUUACUAUAAUAAUUUGAUAACUGAAGUGUGCGUUGUAAAAUAAAUGAAAUUUUAAUGAUUAGAAAAGUCAUUAGCCAUUAAUAUAAUUGUAGGAAAACUCUUAAUCGUGUAUAAUAAUUGAUAGAUAAAUUGAAAUAUUGAUAGAAAAAUAGUGUUUUUUUACAUUGAAAACGGUUGUUUGAAUUUGAAUAUUAAUUUUGUUAUUUUUCGUCACUUUCUAUUUUAAUUUUAUGUAUGAUUUCAAAUAAUUAAAUUGAUCAUUUUUUCCUUUUAAAAAAAAUGAUCAUUUUUGUUUAAUGUAUGGAGUAGAAUAAGAAUUAUUUAAAUGACGGGAUUGAAUUUGAAACUUUAGAAAGUAUGUUCACCAUUUCAUACCCACAAAUUAAGCAACUUUGAAAAAACAUUAAACAUAUAUGAGUAGAAGAAGAAUGAUUCACGACAUUAAUGAUUUAUAAAAUAUAAUAGAAAAUAUAUCAUGUACUUCUUCAAAAAAGAAAAUAUAUCAUGUAUUUUUUUUAUCAUUUCUACUUCAAAGUCAUCCAUUCAACCAAUUUUGUGAAAAUGUGAAUCUUUUUUUUUUUCUUGUCUAUCGACUGAUUAUAAAGUUAAAAAAAUAAAAGAAAAAUAUAAUAUAAUUGACAAAAGAAAAUAUAAAAGAUCAAAAUAUUAAAAAUAAAACAGCAACAUAAGAAAUGUUAACCAAAGAAUAAUAUAUAGAUAGAAAAAGUUGAAAUUGAGAGAUUAAAAUAAAAGAAAAGGGGGGAUGAAGUUGUUAGAUUUAAACUUGGUAAUAAAAAUCCUUCGUAUAUAUUCUAAUUGAUACGUGAUGCAUUUCUUCUUUUCUCUUAAUUGACUUCCAUAUUCAAACUAAAGAUCUAGUAAAAAACAAAGAACAUAUAAUCACGAAAAGAAAAUUUAAAAGAGAAUAUGAUUAAGAAAACAACAACAUAAGAAAUCCCAAUAAAAAAUAACCUAAGAAUAAGAAAUGUUAAACAAACAACAAAACAUUAAAAAAAUAAGAAAUAAAAAAAUAAAAGAAAUGAGGACGGGGUUGAAAUCAAUGAGUUUUUGUGGGAGGAAGAGAUAGAUGAAAAUAAUGAAAAACAAAUUGUCUAUAUAUAGAAAAAAAAAAUCAUAUCAUGAUCCAUUUUGAUUGGCUCAAGAAAAACAAAUGAGUCAUGAUCCUCUUUUGAUUGGUUGAUAUAAAAUAAAUGUGUCAUAAUCCAUUUUGAUUGGAUGAUAAGAAAACAUUAAAUGAGAUGGAGAAUAUAAGCUUGCCACGUGUACUUUAAAAAAAAAUAGCGCAAAUAUAUAUAAUAAAGAUAAAGAUGUUUAAUUAGUUAAGUAGUAAGUUUUUAAUUAAGUGGUAAGAGACACUAGAUCCUAGACCCAUUAUGAGAUGAGUUAACCUAACCCAUUAGUUGGAGUAUAUAAGGAUAACACCGGUGAAAAUUAGGGUUCAACUUUUUAUUUCAUAUAUUCACAUAAAAGGGUGGCUAGAGAAAAAUAGAGAAUUGAGACAAAAGAAAAGAUAGAAGAAAAAGGAAGAACAAAGUGAAGAAAAGAAGAGCAAAGCUGGAAUUCAAGAGGGGAGUGAAGAUUUGGUGAAGUGACUUAAGCUUAAGGAUGAUUUAGGUAAGGGGAUAGGUUUCUUCUUUCAUAAUAAGUUAUAAUAAUGUUAUUAGCUUUUAGGACAUUUUCUUUUAAUUGAUUUGUGAAAUUGAUGAUUAUGUGUGAUGAAAUUCGUGCUUAUAAUUGAUUGGUAAUUAUGAGUAUGUUGAAAUUUGUGGAAUUAAGUUGUUUGGGUGUUCAAACUCAUGAUUGGUGUUUUGAAAUUAGUUGUUUUGAGAUUUUUACUGAAUUGUGUGAAACCAUGAAUUUGUUGAUGAUUAUUGUUCAAACAUGUUUUAAAUCACUUGUUGAAUAAUUGGGUAUGUUUGUAUGUUGAUGUGUUAUGAAUUAUUGGUGUUGAUUGUGAGGUUUGGAUUAAUUUGUGAUGUUUUGGCGAAAAAUGUUAAUGAUUUUGAAAACUUGGUGAAAUGAUGUUAUGAACCCAUGAUUAAUGUGUUUUGAUUUUUCCUUUUAUCUGUAUUAUUUGUUGGUGAAGUUUGCACAACAAUUUUAGGUCAAUUGGGGUCAAAAUUGGGAUUUUUGGGGAGUUUUUUUGUGAGUUCCCCGAAAGAGAACCCAUUUCUGAGUUCCCCUGUUUUGUGCAGUUUGCUAACUCGUUCCCGAUUAUUUUGUUGGUGUAAGCCCUAUAGCCAAUAAUUUAUGUUAAACCUAUGAUAUGUAUCAUGACUUUUAUUAUUAAAUAAUAGGCUAAAAUAUGGUUUUGCUCCCUGCAAAUAUGUCUCGUUUUGGUUUUAGUCCCUGUAAAAAAAAAUUGUUGUUUUUGGUCCCUGCAAAAUAUUUUGUUUUUGGAAAUAGUCCCUGCAGAGACUAUUUCCAUAUUUUGUUUUUGGAAAUAGUCCCUGCAGGGACUAUUUCCAAAAACAAAAUAUUUUGCAGGGACCUUUUUCAAAAUCAAAAGAUUUUGCAGGGACUAUUUCUCUAAUAAAUGGUUCAGUCAUCAUGUGACACGUGUGCAAAUUAUCACAAAAGUGNNNNNNNNNNNNNNNNNNNNNNNNNNNNNNNNNNNNNNNNNNNNNNNNNNNNNNNNNNNNNNNNNNNNNNNNNNNNNNNNNNNNNNNNNNNNNNNNNNNNACAAAAUAUUUUGCAGGGACCUUUUUCAAAAUCAAAAGAUUUUGCAGGGACUAUUUCUCUAAUAAAUGGUUCAGUCAUCAUGUGACACGUGUGCAAAUUAUCACAAAAGUGGAGCCAGGGACCAAAACCAAAAAGAGACAUAUUUGCAGGGACCAAAAACAACAAAAAAAAUUUGCAGGGACUAAAACCAAAACGAGGCAUAUUUGCAGGGACCAAAACCAUAUUUUAGCCUAAAUAAUAUAUGAUACUCUUUAUUAUACUUGUUGUAAUAUUAAUAAAGUCCCAAUAAUAGAUAGUUCGUGUAAUGGUAUAUUAAUUGUGACUUAAUCAUGAGAUUACAUUAAUAUAAAGAACACUAUUCUUAAAUGUAUCCAUAGUCGAGCUUUAAUAUAAAUUGGAAUAAUAAUAAAGCGCAAAGACUAUUAUAUAUGUAGACUGAUGACCACAACUUAUUUAUCAUGGAUAUGCGAUAUUAAGUUUAUACAUAGCUAUAAACAUUACGAGUAAUAUUUAUACUGGAAUGACCCACCAUGAGAAUACUAAAUAGUAUGUUAUGAAAAUGUCAUAAGAUAUUUUCACAAUGAUAAUGGUGUAUAUCACUCUUAGACCUGAAACGACUAUGAUGCCUAGAUAUGGACUCAAGUGUUUUAUUGUCAUUCUAACAUUGUUUGUAAAAGGAUAACCAUAACGUUGGCUAAUGGAUAAUUGAUGAAUCAUGCAGAGGGACAUGAGUGUCCUAUACUAGAUUUGUCCCUCCUCAUAACAUGAGAUAUAUCUUUAGGCCUCUUGAUGAGAUAUAACUAUAAAGUUGCAUGGCCAUGCCGAACUAAGUCAAUAUGAGAUAUUAGACUUAUUCGUUAUUCAGUAUAUUUUGGGAUCAAGAAAUAUAAAGGCUAAAAUAUGGUUUUAGUCCCUGCAUAUAUGCCUCGUUUUGGUUUUAGUCCCUGUAAAAAAAAAAAUUGUUUAUGGUCCCUGCAAAUUUUUUUUGUUUUUUAAAAUAGUCCCUGACCCCAUUUUUGUGAUGAUUUGCAUACGUGGCACAUGAUGACUGAACCUAUUUUGUAGUUUUUGGUCCCUGCAAAAUAUUUUGUUUUUUAAAAAGGUCCCUGCAAAAAUUUUUGUUUUUGAAAAUAGUCCUUGGAGGGAUUAUUUUCAAAAACAAAAAAUUUUACAAGGAUCAAAAACAAUUUUUUUUUACAGGGACUAAAGCCAAAACGAGGCAUAUUUGCAAGGACUAAAACCAUAUUUUAGCCAAAUAUAAAUAUUGACCUAUACAAGGGUGACAAAAUCUAUGCCUUGUGAUCAAUAUAGAUAUGAGGACAAAAGAGUAAUUGAACACAUGAAUGUUAUGAUGGAAAAGGUUUUGUCAGAUCACUUAACAUUCUUGUCACUUGGAUAGCAAUGAUGUAUUGCUAGAUACCGCUCAUUGUUUAUAAUUUUAAAUAUUAGAUUUAAUAUUAUUUCCAACGUGACUAGAACAUAUGGGGUCACACACAAGAGAACAGUCAAAAGAGAAAUAUAAAUAAGACUUAUAUGAUGGGUGCGUUUAGAAAUUAACACUAAUUAGUUAGCAAAAGACUAAACUCAUUAAUGGGCUUACGGAAGUCCAAUAAUGACUUCUGACUUGCAAAACAUAAUAGGAGUUUGUUAUCUCGAUUUUGGGGUAUCAAGUCAUUAAUUAGGCUUGAACAUUUCAAUCUUUGAUAUUCUCUAUUUUUUUUUGGGAAGGGUAAAAUUGAGAAAACCCUUAGAAACUCUAAGUUUGGGGGUCGUUUUCGUUACGGGAAGGUGUUAAGCACCCGUAACGACUAUAAUAUUCUAUAGGAACAGAUUUCCUAGCUUUAUGUCUACGCUUUACUUUUAUGCUUAUUUAUUGAAAAAGAGAGUUUAUUUAGGUUAAGGAUUUGGAAAGAAAGUGUAUGAGAUUUCAUUUUANNNNNNNNNNNNNNNNNNNNNNNNNNNNNNNNNNNNNNNNNNNNNNNNNNNNNNNNNNNNNNNNNNNNNNNNNNNNNNNNNNNNNNNNNNNNNNNNNNNNGAAAUUUGGACAGGAAAAGACUAAAAUGCCCCUAGGGACUAAACUGACUCAGACAGACUCAGACGCAAUUUUGAAAUGGUUUUUAAACAAAGACUCAACAGUGAUUUGUAAAACAAGUUGAAAAGACUCAGAGACAAACACAGGGACAAAAAUGGGUUCCACUGCAGGAAAUGACCAAAAUACCCUUUUUGUAUGAUUUUUAAAAUAACAUGCAAGAAAAAGCAAUGCAAUGAUUCAGAGAGUUUUCAAAUGACUUGUAAUGUAAGAAAGACACUUUGGAUGAUCUUAUGCAAGAAAAACACAGGCAAAAUCAUGAUUUGCAAAUACCUUGAGACAGAGAAAGUAAAAUAUACAGAUGAAAAUAAAGUGAAGAUUCAAAGUAAAACAAUAGUAAAUUGACAAUUAUCAGUGGUAGAAAAGAAAUUUGAACGAGUAUUUUUAGGUCCAAAAUCAGGGUAUAACAGAAUUCUAUAAAUAGAACACUUGUGUUGAAGUCUUUGUUACACCUUUUAGAAACCCUAAUUCCCCCAAAUCUCUAAUCGCUUGGCUAGCACCGGAAACUAGAGGAGCACCGUUCAUGUGGAUUAGUAGAGGCUCUGUUGUUUGCUUUGCUUUGUGAUUGAUAUUUUUCCUGCACUUCGAGGUAACAUUCAUUCACUAAUUCAUGUCAAAUUCAUAAUGAUCCAAGGAAUGAAAAUCGAAAAUUUUAUUUCGCUGCCUGUUUAUACAUAAAUCUGAAUCAUUUACAAUAUUCAAGGAAUUUCAAAGUGAAGUAGAAAACCAACUAGGAAAGAAAAUAAAAAUGAUUCGAUUUGAUCGAGGUAGAGAGUAUUUGAGCUUAGAGUUUGACAAUCAUCUAAAAGAGGGUUGGAUCUUAUCCCAACUCACACUUUCUGGAACGCCACAAUGGAAUGGUGUUUCCGAUAGGAGAAAUCGAACCUUGUUGGACAUGGUCCGAUCAAUGAUGAAUCAUGCUAAUCUUCCAAACUCCUUGUGGGGACACGCCUUAUUAAGUGCAGCUUAUACACUUAUUCGAGUUCAAUCUAAAGCGGUAGAAAAAACAUCGUAUGAGAUAUGGAAUGGUCGAAAAUCCAACAUGAGACAUUUAAAGAUUUGGAGUUGUGAAGCUUAUGUAAAACGACAAAUAUAACGACAAAUAUCUCAAAACCCUAGCAUAGCAUUUUUUUCAAUAUUUCUCUCUUCUUGUGUUUCUUCCAAUGCUUUGGAGUAGUUAAGUGAUAUGCAGUUUGAUAAUGUCAACUUUGAGACGGAUUCUAAAACCAUUCAUGAUGCCUUCUACUCUCGCAAAUAAGACGUUUCCGAAUUUGGACAUAUAAUUUUGGCUUGUCAAUCUCUCUUUACUACCCACUUCACAAACUCUCGAUUUGAGUUUAUGAGGCGACAAACAAAUGAGGUUGCUCAUACGCGUGGUAUUAAAAAUAUCAUUUUUAAUAAAAUGCUAUAAGCAUGUUUCCUACAAAAAAAAUUGUCAAGUUAGUUUCUUCUUCUUACCAAGACUUGAACCCUGGUCCUCCAACUCCAUAACUUUUUGCUCAAACCAGCGGACCUAGCCGACCUCACAUAUCUUCUUAUUCUAUAAGCUUAUAAGGUUAAGCUAAUGCUUAACCCUAAUCCAAAGCUAAAUUUCCCUCAUAAGCUUCUUAAACCUAGCUUCUUUAGCAAGCCUUACAUGUGUAAUUAAUGUUAUUUUAUUUCAAAUUUAAAAAACAACUUUUCUCUCCUACUACUUUGCUUAAUUCCAACGCCAUGUAAGCCUUGGUUCUAUCAACAUUUAAAACUAAUCAUAUUUCCAAUGACUCGUUACAUACACCCUCCGAUCACUAAUAUAAGCAAAAAUACAUUUUUUAGAUACAUUCAAUUAAUAAUGUAUGUGAUAUUUAUUAUAUGUCACAUACAUCAUUAAUUGAAUGUAUCUAAAAAGUAGAUUUUUGCUUAUAUUGGUGACCGGCGGGUGUAAAGCCCAAGGAAGCUCAUGAUGCCUAUCUUCAACAUAUUAAAUCUAUUGUUUUUAGAAUUUUUCAUUUGAAAAUAUGAACAUCACAACUACUUAUUUCACCAUUGGUCGUCAAACUCAGCAAAUAAUCAGAGUUCCAAAGGUUUGGUCGUGGCCAUAUGGGUUAUGAGAUUCAAUGUUCCAUUGCUUAUAAAUUAAAUUAUUUGGUGACUCGAUUUUUAUACCUAGAUUAUUUCUGCCAACUUCUGAUGUAAGAAUUCCUUUAAUGAUAUGAUUAAUGUGAAUCUAUGUUUAUGAUAUGACUUAUACGAGAGCUAUUUUUUUUUUUUAAUAAUAUUUUGUUCUUGACAAGUAUUAUGGAAAGAAGAAUAGGUGCCUCUUUAGUCGGCAAGACCCGUGCUACGCCCGGUGGUAUGGUUAGUUCUAUCAUAUGGAAAAUUCUAUGGUACAUCAACAUUUUGUGUGUACCGGUACACCAAAUAUUAAAUUAAUAAUUAAAUUGAUCGUUUUUUGAAGAAAAAAUAACUAUUUUCUAUCAUUGACAAUUAUAAUAAUUAAAUCUUAUUUACCAAAAGAGUCGAUGAAAUAAAAUUUACUUUUUUUGAAUUUUUAUUGCUCAUAACGAAGAAUAUUGAUUAUUUUUUAUGAGAAAAUGUUAAAAAUUUAAUAUAAUUCAUAUAAACAAUGAAAUAAUGUUUUUUUACUCAUAAGAUGGUGUUUUCUAAAAUAUAAAUAAUGACAAAUAACAACUUAUUUUAUAAAAUGAUCAUUAAUUUAUAAAUUUAUGAAGCAGAGUAUCGGUACACCUCAAUUUAUGAGGUGUACCGUAGAAACUACCCUAUCAUAUAGUUAUAUCCAUCCUUUAGGAUCAUAUAUUAGGUCAAAUUGUAUUCUCUCUCAAUCAAUGCAUCAUUCCAAUUCAUUUCAUCACUAGUAAGUAUUACGUCCUUUACUAGGACGUUUAUCCGUGCUAACGUCCGGGACAUUAAAAAUGAAAAACCUAAAAAAGUUCCAAUAUUAUUCAUUUACAUAAAAAAUAAAAUAAAUAAACAUAAAAAGUAUUUAAGGGCAUACAAAAUAUUGGGUCGCACAUUUUUGAAUAUUUCCUUAUAAACUACAUUUGAAGUGGUGCUGAUACAAUCCCCAUUGUCAUCUGUUAAUAAUAUCUUCAUACCAUCCCUUGAUGUAACACGUGAUAUUGCAAUAUAUAGCUGCCCAUGUGAGAAGACCAAUUGUGGAAGAUAGAUGCUAACUUGCUUAAGUGAUUGUCCCUGACUUUUGUUUAUAGUCAUUGUAAAACACAAAGCUAUAGGAAAUUGUCUGCGUUGAAAUUUGAAAGGAAUUUUGGUAUCAGAUUGUGUCAAUGACAAUCUCGGUAUGUAGACCUUCUCUCCAACAUUGCUUCAUGAUAUUACCCUCCCUUCAAUAACAUAUCUUCCCAUCUUAGUGACUAUUAGUCGAGUACCAUUACACAAACAUGCUGUUAUGUCCAAAUUUCUCAACAACAUAAUAGGAACUCCAACUUUCAAAGUAAUCUUGUGAUUAGGAAGACCCGAUGAAUUGAUUGUGUUCAAGAAUUCCGGUGUGUGAAUAUCAUCUGGUCUAUUGACUGAUGCGGUAUCUGCUAUUAUAAGAAUCACAACUCAAAUAUGUCAUUUCUUCACCGGGAAUGAGAGACAGAACAUAGUCAUUAACUCAAAUAUGUCCUUUCUGACUUUGUUUCAUGAUAGUUUCUUUUCCAUAAAUAGAAGUGGUUAAAAUUUUAUCUGUAACACCAUAAAAAUGAUCAACGAUGCCUCUUCAUAGAGGCAACCAAAGAGGGAAAAUGGGACAUAGAAUGAACAUGAUAGGAUACAUCCAUUUCAGGCGUGGUUGCUAGCCUAUUGCACUAUAAAUAAAUAUAUGCCAAAAAACAAAAAGAACACCAGAGCAUAACAUAUAUUUAUAAUCAGUUGUGAAACAUAUAUGUCACUUAUAUAUAUAAUGGUAAAAGAACUUUCAUUAUUCACUAAGAUAAGAAGUGGAAUAUAAAGAAACACACUGCCAUCAUUCCAGUUUCAAAUCUAAGUAAUAUAACCAAGACGACAACACAACAUUCAAUUGGAUAACUAAUUAAGCAAUGAUAACAAAGAAAAAACAUUGGCUUUAAAUGAGAAUUAUGCAAUUCUCAUUGAUAAUGACUAAAAAAGGACUAAAUUUGUUCUCCAUGCUGAAUGAAAGAGUAACAGUGCCUCACUGAUAACAACUAAUGUAGUGUCUCACUAAAUUUGUUCUUCAUUUUUUGUGUUUCUGCUAUAUAGUUAUCAUUUAUUUGGUGAAAAGAAAUCCGAAGUUGCACAUGAGGAACCAAUCCAACAUUGCCAUAAGCUUACUUCCAUAUUCACAUGUGUUCUAUGAAGGCAUUUAACUCAACUUGUGGUAGCUAAUGCAUAGAAGCCAAUCCAUUCAUCUCUGUCAUAUUGCUUUAAUCCCAAGGCAGAGAUUCUAGUCUAGUAUAUCAAUUAUGUAUUCAAAGUAAUCAUGUUAUAUAUAAUAUAUGGAGAUAUCCAAAGUAGAAGAGCAUAAAGAGAGAUGAGGUUAUAAGUUUGUCCCAAAUAAAGAAAUUAAAUUACAUAUCGGAUUUGAUUAUAAAUAUACUUAAGAACAUGUAAGUAGUAGAAGAACAUUUAUAAUCAAACAGAAAGAUGAGGUUAGUUUUUCUUGAGCACAUUGAUGGAGAUAUUCCAUCAAUUCUUUUUUGAUGGAGAAAUUAAACUACAUACCAGAUUUGAUUAUAAAUGUGCUUAAGAAAAUUUCAAGAGCUGCGGCGACGACAGGAGAGAGCUGCGGCGACGGAGAGAGCGGCAACGACAGAGAAUUUUGUUUGAAUGUCUGAAAGUGAGGUGGAAGAUGAACAACUCAAAGGGGGAAGAGAUUUUUUUGAGUAAAAGCAAUAUAAAUUCCAUCCUUUAGGAUCAUAUAUUAGGUCAACUUGUAUUCUCUCUCAAUCAAUGCAUCAUUCCAAUUCAUUUCAUCACUUACGUCCUUUAUUACCAAUAAAGCUAUACAAAUUACAUAUCCCCAUUCCCUAUCCUCUUCAAGUAAUAGAAAUUGAGGUUAGAACAAAUACUGUUCACAACAAUUAAAAGAAAACCUGACAAUCUACCGAGGAAAAAAAGUACUUGAAGGCAUUCCAUUGCUAGAGAAUAGGGCAGAACUAUCAUUGUAGGAUCUACCUUGCAGGAAAAAUGCAGGUUGUUGUGGAGUUCGUAACUCAAUUGAAUGACUGCUAAGAUAAGAAGCAAUUGUCAAGAUUGAAGGUCUAGCCUCUGGGUCAUUUUGAACACAUAAUAGACCAAUCUGAAUGCACUUAAUGACUUCAGUUUUAGAAUAAUCUCCUUUAAUAUUUGGGUCCAAUAUAUUUAAAGGUGUUUUAUCCAUCCACUGUCUCCAUACCUGAAAAUAUAUACCAUUUGGUCUAAGCUAUGAGAUUAUUAGGCCAAACGAGCUUUAAAUCCAAAAUUGGAUCGAAAAGUAUGUAAAGUCUGAUCAAAGAUUAUUUCAACUAAGAAGUAAUGAAAAGAUACUAUUGCUAUAUCAUUACACUCACAGAAUUCAAGAG